UGGGGAGUACGGCCGCAAGGCUAAAACUCAAAGGAAUUGACGGGGGCCCGCACAAGCGGCGGAGCAUGCGGAUUAAUUCGAUGCAACGCGAAGAACCUUACCAAGGCUUGACAUAUACCGGAAACGUCCAGAGAUGGUCGCCCCGCAAGGUCGGUAUACAGGUGGUGCAUGGUUGUCGUCAGCUCGUGUCGUGAGAUGUUGGGUUAAGUCCCGCAACGAGCGCAACCCUCGUUCUAUGUUGCCAGCACGUUAUGGUGGGAACUCAUAGGAGACUGCCGGGGUCAACUCGGAGGAAGGUGGGGAUGACGUCAAAUCAUCAUGCCCCUUAUGUCUUGGGCUUCACGCAUGCUACAAUGGCCGGUACAAAGGGCUGCGAUACCGUAAGGUGGAGCGAAUCCCAAAAAGCCGGUCUCAGUUCGGAUUGAGGUCUGCAACUCGACCUCAUGAAGUCGGAGUCGCUAGUAAUCGCAGAUCAGCAACGCUGCGGUGAAUACGUUCCCGGGCCUUGUACACACCGCCCGUCAAGUCAUGAAAGUCGGUAACACCCGAAGCCAGUGGCCUAACCCCUUGUGGGAUGGAGCUGUCGAAGGUGGGAUUGGUGAUUA
rnacentral:rRNA from 1 species